rnacentral:rRNA from 1 species
AGUGAACGCUGGCGGUAGGCCUAACACAUGCAAGUCGAACGGCAGCACAGUAAGAGCUUGCUCUUACGGGUGGCGAGUGGCGGACGGGUGAGGAAUACAUCGGAAUCUACUUUUUCGUGGGGGAUAACGUAGGGAAACUUACGCUAAUACCGCAUACGACCUACGGGUGAAAGCAGGGGAUCUUCGCACCUUGCGCGAUUGAAUGAGCCGAUGUCGGAUUAGCUAGUUGGCGGGGUAAAGGCCCACCAAGGCGACGAUCCGUAGCUGGUCUGACAGGAUGAUCAGCCACACUGGAACAGAGACACGGUCCAGACUCCUACGGGAGGCAGCAGUGGGGAAUAUUGGACAAUGGGCGCAAGCCUGAUCCAGCCAUACCGCGUGGGUGAAGAAGGCCUUCGGGUUGUAAAGCCCUUUUGUUGGGAAAGAAAAGCAGCAGGUUAAUACGCCGCUGUUCUGACGGUACCCAAAGAAUAAGCAGCGGCUAACUUCGUG